GAGUGAGGCGACCCCGCGAGGGUGAGCGAAGCACAAGAAGCCGUCCCAGUUCGGAUUGUAGUCUGCAACCCGACUACAUGAAGCUGGAAUCGCUAGUAAUCGCAGGUCAGCACACUGCGGUGAAUACGUUCCCGGGUCUUGUACACACCGCCCGUCACACCAUGGGAGCCGGAAAUGCCCGAAGCCAGUGACCCAACCUUAGGGAGGGAGCUGUCGAAGGUGGAGCCGGUAACUGGGGUGAAGUCGUAACAAGGUACC
rnacentral:rRNA from 1 species